rnacentral:rRNA from 1 species
GACGAACGCUGGCGGCGUGCUUAACACAUGCAAGUCGAACGGAAAGGCCCUGCUUUUGUGGGGUGCUCGAGUGGCGAACGGGUGAGUAACACGUUAGUAACCUGCCCUUGACUUUGGGAUAACUUCAGGAAACUGGGGCUAAUACCGGAUAGGAGCUCCUGCUGCAUGGUGGGGGUUGGAAAGUUUCGGCGGUUGGGGAUGGACUCGCGGCUUAUCAGCUUGUUGGUGGGGUAGUGGCUUACCAAGGCUUUGACGGGUAGCCGGCCUGAGAGGGUGACCGGCCACAUUGGGACUGAGAUACGGCCCAGACUCCUACGGGAGGCAGCAGUGGGGAAUAUUGCAAAAUGGGCGGAAGACUGAUGCAGCAACGCCGAGUGCGGGAUGACGGCCUUCGGGUUGUAAACCGCUUUCGCCUGUGACGAAGCGUGAGUGACGGUAAUGGGUAAAGAAGCACCGGCUAACUACGUG